CUCUCGAAACUCUCUUUUCUCUACAACAAGGAAGACCAACCCCAAAUAUUCACUGUUCGAGCUUAAAAACCGUACGAUUGUGUUCACCUUACCUCCAUGAACACAACCAAACCAACCAAACUAAGAAUGGACGAGUUGUGACUCGCCAACUCGGAAUAUUUGAGUUCGACGUGUUUUCAACUAAGUCACAAUAUUUUAGGACUCGGGAAAGCCUACACAACUCCCUAGGGUCCCUAGUCAAUGUUUGAGGAAGUUGUGACGUGAAACAACUCGGUUUCGAGAAGUUCAAGUUUGACCCGUGUCUUUCGAGCCAAUUUCUGGCCAAACUACGGCACGUUGGCCCAUGUGCAAGUUUCCCGCGAGUCCGACAGCUUUCGAGGCGUUUUCCGGCCAAACCAUGGCAAGUUAGAUGUCGUGCAAGGUUUAGUAGCUGUGGUUACGCGUAUAUGAGGAUUCUGGCAAAUCUCAAGAAAUGGUUAUCUUCAGUGGUA